UUACUUUUAGUUUAAAAGAAUGUCAAAUUGUGAUUUUGAAGGUAUUAGGUAUACCUUUAGCUAAUUAAGUAUA
rnacentral:tRNA from 1 species